rnacentral:rRNA from 1 species
UACGUAGGGGGCUAGCGUUGUCCGGAAUCAUUGGGCGUAAAGCGCGCGUAGGCGGUCUGGUAAGUCCGCUGUGAAAGUCGGGGGCUCAACCCUCGGAUGCCGGUGGAUACUGUCGGGCUUGAGUACGGAAGAGGCGAGUGGAAUUCCUGGUGUAGCGGUGAAAUGCGCAGAUAUCAGGAGGAACACCAAUUGCGAAGGCAGCUCGCUGGGACGUUACUGACGCUGAGACGCGAAAGCGUGGGGAGCAAACAGG